ACCCUACUAUUUAUCAUUAUGGACAAUUAGGUCAAACAGUCCCUGGUGGUCAUGGGUACGGAGCAGUACAUGGAUAUGCAAUGCCAAGCCCUCAGAUCCUGCAGUUUAGUGGUCCUAAUGUCAAUGCAUUAACAUCUUCUCCAAUGCCUACUAUUCAGGCACCAUAUCCUUCAGGGAUUCCAGCACCUGUUGCAGCACAGCCACAGUUCGUUGUUCAUUCUCCUUCUCAGUUUGUA
rnacentral:misc_RNA from 1 species